ensembl:lncRNA
AUGGAAACUUUGACUUCAACUGAUUGCGCCUGGAUUUUCUCUGAGAGAACGGUGAAUGAAAAAGUGAAUGCAAACUUGCACAGUAAGAAAUCGCAAUCAUUGUUUUUUUUUUAUUAUGAACGUGAUCCAUUUACUCACUUUUCUUCUUCUCUGCUGAAGGGCUUGAUGUUUCAGUGUUGGGGGGAGCUAGAAGCUCGGUGUAAUUAUUUUUCAAUAAUGCAUUCUUUUUCUUCUUCUUCUUCUUCUUUUGGGGCUCAGAUGUCAUCUCAUCCGUUUCUUGUGUCUCCUCUUUACUGUCUUUAUCUUUUCCAUCGCCCCCCGUCUCAUAUGUAGUCUCUUCCACAUUUCCUCCAGUCAUCUUUUUCUUCUUCUUCUUCUUCUUCUUUUGGGGCUCAGAUGUCGUCUCAUCCGUUUCUUGUGUCUCCUCU